rnacentral:lncRNA from 1 species
GAGCAGUUCUGUGAAAACUGUUGUGAAGUUUUGGUUUUUGGCUAGAAACAACAUUUGAGGUUCAUACAAUGUUGUAGUGAAUCUGACUAGAAUUCCUACUAGACCUUCUAAGUAAGUGCUUUCAAACCUGCUUGACCUUGUUCGUCUUCCUUGAAUUUGAUUGAUUUUUUGUAUGAUUGUAGGCACAAUAUUCUUAUAUAGAAGAGCUAGGUUAAGUGUCAGGUUUUGGUGGGGAAGUUUUGCUAGAAAUUUUGCUGAAACUGCCUGCUUCUCAGUAAUGAGGGCGGUCUCAGUUGAGUGCUCGAUAAGAAGG